rnacentral:rRNA from 1 species
UACGUAGGGUGCGAGCGUUAAUCGGAAUUACUGGGCGUAAAGUGUGCGCAGGCGGCCGCGCAAGUCGAGUGUGAAAUCCCCCGAGCUUAACUUGGGAAUUGCGCUCGAAACUACGUGGCUGGAGUGUGGCAGAGGAAGGUGGAAUUCCACGUGUAGCGGUGAAAUGCGUAGAGAUGUGGAGGAACACCGAUGGCGAAGGCAGCCUUCUGGGCCAACACUGACGCUCAUGCACGAAAGCGUGGGGAGCAAACAGG